rnacentral:rRNA from 1 species
GAACGGGUGAGUAACACGUGGGUGAUCUGCCCUGCACUCUGGGAUAAGCCUGGGAAACUGGGUCUAAUACCGGAUAGGACCACACACUUCAUGGUGAGUGGUGCAAAGCUUUUGCGGUGUGGGAUGAGCCCGCGGCCUAUCAGCUUGUUGGUGGGGUAAUGGCCCACCAAGGCGACGACGGGUAGCCGGCCUGAGAGGGUGACCGGCCACACUGGGACUGAGAUACGGCCCAGACUCCUACGGGAGGCAGCAGUGGGGAAUAUUGCACAAUGGGCGCAAGCCUGAUGCAGCGACGCCGCGUGAGGGAUGACGGCCUUCGGGUUGUAAACCUCUUUCAGUAGGGACGAAGCGAAAGUGACGGUACCUACAGAAGAGGGACCGGCCAACUACGUGCCAGCAGCCGCGGUAAUACGUAGGGUCCGAGCGUUGUCCGGAAUUACUGGGCGUAAAGAGCUCGUAGGUGGUUUGUCGCGUUGUUCGUGAAAACUCACAGCUUAACUGUGGGCGUGCGGGCGAUACGGGCAGACUAGAGUACUGCAGGGGAGACUGGAAUUCCUGGUGUAGCGGUGGAAUGCGCAGAUAUCAGGAGGAACACCGGUGGCGAAGGCGGGUCUCUGGGCAGUAACUGACGCUGAGGAGCGAAAGCGUGGGUAGCGAACAGGAUUAGAUACCCUGGUAGUCCACGCCGUAAACGGUGGGUACUAGGUGUGGGUUUCCUUCCUUGGGAUCCGUGCCGUAGCUAACGCAUUAAGUACCCCGCCUGGGGAGUACGGUCGCAAGACUAAAACUCAAAGGAAUUGACGGGGGCCCGCACAAGCGGCGGAGCAUGUGGAUUAAUUCGNNNNNNNGCGAAGAACCUUACCUGGGUU